AUUGUAUCCAUCACUGCUUUGAGCAGGUUUCAGGGGGGCCUCCAAGCAGGGCCAGCAUUAGACUCACUGGGGCCCAGGCAGAAAGCCGAAGCCCUGCCGCAAGGGAUUGAAGCCAGGGCCCUGAGUCCCACCACCCAAGGCUGAAGCUGAAGCCUGAGCAAUGUAGUUUUGCGGGGGCUCCUGUGGCAUGAGGCCACAGACAACUGCCCUGCUUGCUACCCCC